CCUACGGGAGGCAGCAGUGGGGAAUAUUGCACAAUGGGGGAAACCCUGAUGCAGCGACGCCGCGUGAGUGAAGAAGUAGUUCGGUAUGGAAAGCUCUAUCAGCAGGGAAGAGAAUGACGGUACCUGACGAAGAAGCCCCGGCUAACUACGUGCCAGCAGCCGCGGUAAUACGGAGGGGGCAAGCGUUAUCCGGAUUUACGGGGUGAAAAGGGAGCGGAGGUGGCAGGGCAAGUCAGAUGUGAAAACCCGGGGCUCAACCCCGGGAGUGCAUGUGAAACUGUCCAGCUGGAGUGCAGGAGAGCUAAGCGGACUUCCUAGUGUAGCUGUGAACUGCUUAGCUAUUCGG
rnacentral:rRNA from 1 species